UGGCAGUAGGUCUUAAUUCUGUCACUGGCACUUGCUGGAGAAGAGGGCUACCAUCACCACGAAGGAACAUGAAGGACUGUUUUCUUUGAAUGUGCACUUGCCAAAAAAAAAGGGAAGGACCCUAACUUUAUGGACAUACUUGGCAGACACCACCUCAGCCCCCGGGACCUGACUAGCACCAACAGCCAGGGGCAUCCUGUGGCUCGUAAGACGCUGGGAAGGAAACAAUUUCCCUGUUGAGGUUUUCUUGUCAAAAAUGAGUAAUAUGAAAUCAAUUACGAGAAAACAUCAGAUAAACCUGAACUGGGGGGCAUUUUAUAAAAUAGUGGACUCAUCAUUGGAUCCUGGACCACGGUGAAGUCUCCAUGAGGUAGCUGCUAAGCGAGAAUAAAUACUGGAGACCAGAUCAUGGGAUGAUACUAACAUGAACGCCAGCGUCUGCAUGUUGCUGAAUGAACUGUGGUUCUGUAAGAGGUCAGCAUUCUAGGGCCUCUGGGCAAAAGGCACACGGGAAAUCUUUGUGCUCCUUCUGUAUCCUUUUUCUAAGUUACAGAUAAUUUUUUUUUUUUGAGACGGAGUUUCACUCUUGUCUCCCAGACUGGAGUGCAAUGGCGCGAUCUCGGCUCACCUCAACCUCCGCCUCUCGGUGUGAUACCCUACCUUGUUUUAACCUGACUGACUCUUAGCUGAGAGGGCUGGACAGACUCCAUUUUGGUUUCUUCGCUUGCAGCCCCUUGUCCGCCUCCCUUAAGGACAUAACUGGGGCAAGCUGACUCCAAGCACAUCCAGGAAUGAAUGCGCUUACUGAAAAGACACUGAUACGAAACUGGAACAAGCUGUACCAGCAGCUCCUGGGAACGUGCUCGGUUGAUGGUACCCAAAGCCCCUGCGUUUAUCACUUUGUGAUAAUUUAAACCCCUGCACCUGGAACUGUUUAUUUUCCUGUAACUGUUUCUGUAAUCAUUUAUCUUUUAACUUUUUGCCUAUUUUGCUUCUGUAAAAAAAUUGCUUCAGCUAGACUACCCCUCCUCUAUUUGGACCAAGGUAUAAAAAGAAAUCUAGCCCCUUCUUCGGGGCCGAGGGAAUUUCCAGCUGUAGCAGUCUCUCCGUCGCUGGCAAUAAAGGACUCCUGAGUUAGUCUCA